rnacentral:rRNA from 2 species
GGGUUGUGAGGUUAAGCGACUAAGCGUACACGGUGGAUGCCCUGGCAGUCAGAGGCGAUGAAGGACGUGCUAAUCUGCGAAAAGCGUCGGUAAGGUGAUAUGAACCGUUACAGCCGGCGAUGUCCGAAUGGGGAAACCCAGUGCAAUUCGUUGCACUAUCGUUAACUGAAUACAUAGGUUAACGAGGCGAACCGGGGGAACUGAAACAUCUAAGUACCCCGAGGAAAAGAAAUCAACCGAGAUUCCCCCAGUAGCGGCGAGCGAACGGGGAGCAGCCCAGAGUCUGAAUCAGCUUGUGUGUUAGUGGAACGGUCUGGAAAGUCCGACGGUACAGGGUGAUAGUCCCGUACACCAAAAUGCACAGGUUGUGAACUCGAAGAGUAGGGCGGGACACGUGGUAUCCUGUCUGAAUAUGGGGGGACCAUCCUCCAAGGCUAAAUACUCCUGACUGACCGAUAGUGAACCAGUACCGUGAGGGAAAGGCGAAAAGAACCCCGGCGAGGGGAGUGAAAAAGAACCUGAAACCGUGUACGUACAAGCAGUGGGAGCACCUUCGGGUGUGACUGCGUACCUUUUGUAUAAUGGGUCAGCGACUUAUAUUCUGUAGCAAGGUUAACCGUAUAGGGGAGCCGCAGGGAAACCGAGUCUUAACUGGGCGUUAAGUUGCAGGGUAUAGACCCGAAACCCGGUGAUCUAGCCAUGGGCAGGUUGAAGGUUGGGUAACACUAACUGGAGGACCGAACCGACUAAUGUUGAAAAAUUAGCGGAUGACUUGUGGCUGGGGGUGAAAGGCCAAUCAAACCGGGAGAUAGCUGGUUCUCCCCGAAAGCUAUUUAGGUAGCGCCUCGUGAACUCAUCUUCGGGGGUAGAGCACUGUUUCGGCUAGGGGGUCAUCCCGACUUACCAACCCGAUGCAAACUACGAAUACCGAAGAAUGUUAUCACGGGAGACACACGGCGGGUGCUAACGUCCGUCGUGAAGAGGGAAACAACCCAGACCGCCAGCUAAGGUCCCAAAGUCAUGGUUAAGUGGGAAACGAUGUGGGAAGGCACAGACAGCCAGGAUGUUGGCUUAGAAGCAGCCAUCAUUUAAAGAAAGCGUAAUAGCUCACUGGUCGAGUCGGCCUGCGCGGAAGAUGUAACGGGGCUAAACCAUGCACCGAAGCUGCGGCAGCGACACUAUGUGUUGUUGGGUAGGGGAGCGUUCUGUAAGCCUGCGAAGGUGACCUGUGAGGGUUGCUGGAGGUAUCAGAAGUGCGAAUGCUGACAUAAGUAACGAUAAAGCGGGUGAAAAGCCCGCUCGCCGGAAGACCAAGGGUUCCUGUCCAACGUUAAUCGGGGCAGGGUGAGUCGACCCCUAAGGCGAGGCCGAAAGGCGUAGUCGAUGGGAAACAGGUUAAUAUUCCUGUACUUGGUGUUACUGCGAAGGGGGGACGGAGAAGGCUAUGUUAGCCGGGCGACGGUUGUCCCGGUUUAAGCAUGUAGGCUGGUUAUCCAGGCAAAUCCGGAUAAUCAAGGCUGAGGUGUGAUGACGAGGCACUACGGUGCUGAAGUAACAAAUGCCCUGCUUCCAGGAAAAGCCUCUAAGCAUCAGGUAACAUCAAAUCGUACCCCAAACCGACACAGGUGGUCAGGUAGAGAAUACCAAGGCGCUUGAGAGAACUCGGGUGAAGGAACUAGGCAAAAUGGUGCCGUAACUUCGGGAGAAGGCACGCUGGUGUGUAGGUGAAGCCCCUGCGGGUGGAGCUGAGACCAGUCGAAGAUACCAGCUGGCUGCAACUGUUUAUUAAAAACACAGCACUGUGCAAACACGAAAGUGGACGUAUACGGUGUGACGCCUGCCCGGUGCCGGAAGGUUAAUUGAUGGGGUUAUCCGUAAGGAGAAGCUCUUGAUCGAAGCCCCGGUAAACGGCGGCCGUAACUAUAACGGUCCUAAGGUAGCGAAAUUCCUUGUCGGGUAAGUUCCGACCUGCACGAAUGGCGUAAUGAUGGCCAGGCUGUCUCCACCCGAGACUCAGUGAAAUUGAACUCGCUGUGAAGAUGCAGUGUACCCGCGGCAAGACGGAAAGACCCCGUGAACCUUUACUAUAGCUUGACACUGAACAUUGAGCCUUGAUGUGUAGGAUAGGUGGGAGGCUUUGAAGCGUGGACGCCAGUCUGCGUGGAGCCAACCUUGAAAUACCACCCUUUAAUGUUUGAUGUUCUAACGUUGGCCCCUUACCGGGGUUGCGGACAGUGUCUGGUGGGUAGUUUGACUGGGGCGGUCUCCUCCCAAAGCGUAACGGAGGAGCACGAAGGUUAGCUAAUCCUGGUCGGACAUCAGGAGGUUAGUGCAAUGGCAUAAGCUAGCUUGACUGCGAGCGUGACGGCGCGAGCAGGUGCGAAAGCAGGUCAUAGUGAUCCGGUGGUUCUGAAUGGAAGGGCCAUCGCUCAACGGAUAAAAGGUACUCCGGGGAUAACAGGCUGAUACCGCCCAAGAGUUCAUAUCGACGGCGGUGUUUGGCACCUCGAUGUCGGCUCAUCACAUCCUGGGGCUGAAGUAGGUCCCAAGGGUAUGGCUGUUCGCCAUUUAAAGUGGUACGCGAGCUGGGUUUAGAACGUCGUGAGACAGUUCGGUCCCUAUCUGCCGUGGGCGCUGGAGAAUUGAGGGGGGCUGCUCCUAGUACGAGAGGACCGGAGUGGACGCAUCACUGGUGUUCGGGUUGUCAUGCCAAUGGCACUGCCCGGUAGCUAAAUGCGGAAGAGAUAAGUGCUGAAAGCAUCUAAGCACGAAACUUGCCCCGAGAUGAGUUCUCCCUGAGACUUUAAGUCUCCUGAAGGAACGUUAAAGACGAUGACGUUGAUAGGCCGGGUGUGUAAGCGCAGCGAUGCGUUGAGCUAACCGGUACUAAUGAACCGUGAGGCUUAACCUUACAACGCCGAAG